rnacentral:tRNA from 48 species
GGGGAGAUAGCUUAAUGGUAAAGCCUACUGCUCAUAACAGGAAAGAUGUAAGUUCAAAUCUUACUCUCCUCA